UGCCCAGCAACUCCUAUCCCUACCUUCUCGUGGUACCGGCCGGAAACUUUGAGCAACCUGAGGGAAGA
rfam:Aedes albopictus isolate Foshan contig10637, whole genome shotgun sequence.